ensembl:lncRNA
CUAAUCCUUCAGCUGAACGCUGAUAUAGAAAUGACUUUCAUUUCCUUUGUGGUAUAUAUUCAUCAGAGUUAAAAAGAAAGGAAGGAAGGAAAAGAAGGAAGGAAGAAAGGAAGGAAGGAAAGGAAGAAAGAAACAUUGACAUGGAAAAACACUGAAGAAGAUGAUGAAAUCCUACUUUCAGAAGUCUGAAACUGCUCAUCAUAAAACAAAGGAAAAAAAAAGGCUUCCUCAUUCAUAGUAAGAAAUAAACUUGCAGACCCACUCAGGACCACUGAAGUUCAAAAGAAAGUUUAGAGGCCUCACUGAAAAAACAUGCACUCAUACUACAGAAGAAAAUCGGUCCAAAAAU